ensembl:lncRNA
CAAGCUGCUGUCCAACUCCUGUCUUGGGGAGAGGGUCAGAGGAGGACACAGGAUAGCUCAGGACACAGCUCGAAUCCUGGAAGCGUAUCUCCUUCGUAGGAACUUCUUUGAUUGGCUGUGUUCGUGCACCUUGAGUGUCAUCAGAUUGUCACUGGCCCUGACACCCAAAACCACCUGAGACGGGCACGUUUCACCUGCUCUGUGAAUGGAUACUAAGGUUCCCAGCUUUCCCGUGUAAGGCCUGAAGCCAUCGUGAAGUAACCAGAUCUCAAUGAUACAUAAGAUAGAGUGCUGCAUCUUGAUUGUGUGAAAUUGGAAUCUGAGAACCUCUCCUCUCUUUGGGAGAGUUCCACGAGGUCCUUGCUGCCCUUGGUGUUCACUGUUGGAAAGAAGAGCUAAGGUCCUGACAACAGCCUUGCUCUCCAAGCCCAGUCAGCUGGACCGGUCAGAGGGACACAUUGAUGAGGUAAAAUCAGGCUAAAAUCAUCAUAUGGAGAAGCUGGAGUUGGGAACUAGCAGAAGGGCAACAGUGGGAAGAAAUAAUCUAGUGCUUUCCCUCAGUGAUAAAACUGGCCUAAAGGCAAUACACAGAAGAGGUGGAAAUCUCUCAACCAUCUGGACAUCUGGGGACUGUCUGAUGGUCUGGACGUGAACCCUAAGGGAGAGGCGAUUACUCUCCCCACCAAGCUGCAAGAUGCUCCAAGGAGAACUCUCCCAGAAGGCCGCAGUUCACUCAGUUUAUUUAGGGAGCUUCUAACACCAGUGAUACGGAGAAGACAAUGGCACCCCACUCCAGUACUCUUGCCUGGAAAAUCCCAUGGACAGAGGAGCCUGGUAGGCGGCAGUCCAUGGGCUCGCACAGAGUCGGACACGACUGAGCAACUUCACUUUCACUUUUCACUUUCAUGCAUUGGAGAAGGAAAUGGCAACCCACUCCAGUGUUUUUGCCUGGAGAAUCCCAGGGAUGGGGAAGCCUGGUGGGCUGCUGUCUAUGGGGUCGCACAGAGUAGGACAUGACUGAAGUGACUUAGCAGUAACAUCAGUGAUAAAGAAUCCUCCUGCCAAUGCAGGAGAUGCAAGAGACGUAGGUUCCAUCCCUGGGUCAGGAAGAUCCCCUGGAGAAGGAAUUCCAGUAUUCUUGCCUGGAGAAUCCCAUGGACAGAGGAGCCUGGCAGGCUGUGGUUCAUGGGGUCACAAGAGUUGGAUACGACUGAGCGACUAAACAGUGAUGGCACCUCGAGGCGAUGUGCCCACAGUAGGCACUGCAUGGUCACACCUGCCCUCAUCACCCUGUCUCCUGCCUGGCUGCUCUCAUCACUGAUGUUAACUUUGGGGAGUCACCUUAGGGCUGACCGGUCCCCCUGCUCCCAGGGCCACCUGGCUCACCCCCUUUCCUGUGUCCCAGAGCAAAAUGAGCCCCUGCCCUACAGACAGAAGGCCUGCUGCCAGGCCCUCCGCCACCCCCGGCCUUUUCUCCACUCCUGUCUUG